AUAUGCUUGUCUUAAAGAUUAAGCCAUGCAUGUCCAAGUAUAAGCCCCCAUGGGGUGAAACUGCGGAUGGCUCAUUAAAUCGGUUGGAAUCUACACGAGAGUGUAAGUUAAACGGAUAACCACGGAAAAUCUGCGGCUAAUACGUGCAUACAAAUGGACUUCUUGGUUCAUUGCAUUUAUCAGAUUGAAAGGAUAGGGAGUAAUCCCUAACUUGAAUGAUGGUAAACAUAAAUUGCGGAUCGUACGAGCUCUGACUCGACGACAAUUCGUUCGACUUUCCGCCCUAUCAACUUUGGAUGGUAGUGUAGUGGACUACCAUGGUGGUUACGGGUGACGGAGAAUUGGGGUUCGAUUCCGGAGAGGGAGCCUGAGAGAUGGCUACCACUUCCAAGGAAGGCAGCAGGCGCGAAAAUUGCCAAACCUACAAAGUAGGAGGCAGUGACAAUAAAUAUCGGAGGGUCAAAUGAUCCGACUGGAAUGAGAUGGAUGUAAAUAAAUCUACGAGAAACAAUUGGAGGACAAGUCUGGUGCCAGCACCCGCGGUAAUUCCAGCUCCAAGAGCGUAUAUUCAAUUUGCUGCAGUUAAAAAGCUCGUAGUUGGGUGAGGGGAAGGAGUGAGGGGAGGUAGAAGGGAAACUUUCUGCUGAGCCUAUCUUUCUCAUUAUGGAGGGAUAUUGUUGGUGGAUGGUCUUAACUGACUGUUCAUUAUACACCCUCCCGUUGACCGUGCUUAAAUUCGCGUGUUCAAAGCAGACAUUUUUUAUGUUUGAAGAGUCUAGCAUGGGAUCAUUUAAUAUGGAAUAGGAGAGACCCCUCAAGGGUGUGCCCAUUGAUCAAGAACGAAAGUUAGGGGAUCAAAUACGAUCAGACACCGUAGUAGUCCUAACCUUAAACGAUACCGACCGGGGAUGGGAUGAGACAAAGUUUUCAUAUCUAUUCUGUACCCUGAGAGAAAUCAAGAGUGUUUGGGUUCCGGGGGGAGUACGGUCGCAAGGCUGAAACUUAAAGGAAUUGACGGAAAGGCAAACAAGAAGUGGAACCUGCGGCUUCCAAUUCGACCCAACACGGGAAAACUUACCAGGUCCAGACAUGGGAAGGAUGGACAGAUUGAUAGAUCUUUCUUGAUUCUAUGAGUGGUGGUGCAUGGCCGUUCUUAGUUGGUGGAGUGAUUUGUCUGGUUGAUUCCGAUAACGAACGAGAUCACGAGAGAUUUGUUGAGGGAGGAUGAAGGGAUGAAAGAGGGUGAAGGUGGGAAAGAGUUGCUUUCGGGUAACUUCGUCUCAAUGGAUCCUUUGUUCCUUUGUCCACUCACCAACUCCGACCGGAGAGUUUCAACUCUCAGGAAGGUCGUGGCAAUAACAGGUCUGUGAUGCCCUUAGAUGUUCUGGGCUGCACGCGCGUUACACUGACAGAGACAAAGAGUU
rnacentral:rRNA from 1 species